rnacentral:rRNA from 1 species
CAGCCGCCGCGGGAAUACGGAGGGGGCUAGCGUUGUUCGGAAUUACUGGGCGUAAAGCGCACGUAGGCGGCUUGGUAAGUUAGAGGUGAAAGCCUGGAGCUCAACUCCAGAAUUGCCUUUAAGACUGCCGAGCUAGCAGGUGAGAGAGGUAAGUGGAAUUCCGAGUGUAGAGGUGAAAUUCGUAGAUAUUCGGAAGAACACCAGUGGCGAAGGCGGCUUACUGGCUCAUACUGGACGCUGAGGUGCGAAAGCGUGGGGAGCAAACAGGAUUAGAGACCCGUGUAGUCCCUGUCUCUUAUAA